UUACAGCCAUAUCACGUACAAACACCAGUUCUCUUGGGAUCACGGAAGUUAAGCAAGCGCCUGGUCAGUAACUAGAUAUGUGAUGGCUUGGGAAUACCAGGUGCU